rnacentral:rRNA from 1 species
UCAGGAUGAACGCUAGCGGCAGGCCUAAUACAUGCAAGUCGAGGGGCAGCACAGGUAGCAAUACNGGGUGGCGACCGGCAAACGGGUGCGGAACACGUACGCAACCUUCCUUUAAGCGGGGAAUAGCCCAGAGAAAUUUGGAUUAAUACCCCAUAAGAAUGUGAAAUGGCAUCAGNUAGCAUUUAAAGAUUUAUCACUUAAAGAUGGGCGUGCGUCUGAUUAGGUAGUUGGUGAGGUAACGGCUCACCAAGCCGACGAUCAGUAACUGGCGUGAGAGCGCGACCAGUCACACGGGCACUGAGACACGGGCCCGACUCCUACGGGAGGCAGCAGUAAGGAAUAUUGGUCAAUGGACGCAAGUCUGAACCAGCCAUGCCGCGUGGAGGAUGAAGGCCCUCUGGGUUGUAAACUUCUUUUAUCUGGGACGAAACACUUCNUUUCUANGGAGCUGACGGUACCAGG